rnacentral:rRNA from 1 species
GAAAGUUUCGGCGGUUACAGAUGGGCAUGCGUUGUAUUAGCUGGUUGGUAAGGUAACGGCUUACCAAGGCGACGAUACAUAGGGGGACUGAGAGGUUAACCCCCCACAUUGGUACUGAGACACGGACCAAACUCCUACGGGAGGCAGCAGUGAGGAAUAUUGGUCAAUGGACGGAAGUCUGAACCAGCCAUGCCGCGUGCAGGAAGACGGCUCUAUGAGUUGUAAACUGCUUUUGUACAAGGGUAAACCUGAAUACGUGUAUUCAGCUGAAAGUAUUGUACGAAUAAGGAUCGGCUAACUCCGUGCCAGCAGCCGCGGUAAUACGGAGGAUCCAAGCGUUAUCCGGAUUUAUUGGGUUUAAAGGGUGCGUAGGCGGAUUGAUAAGUUAGAGGUGAAAUGUCCGAGCUCAACUCGGGAACUGCCUCUAAUACUGUUGAUCUAGAGAGUAGAUGCGGUAGGCGGAAUGUAUGGUGUAGCGGUGAAAUGCUUAGAGAUCAUACAGAACACCGAUUGCGAAGGCAGCUUACCAAUCUAUAUCUGACGUUGAGGCACGAAAGCGUGGGGAGCAAACAGGAUUAGAUACCCUGGUAGUCCACGCAGUAAACGAUGAUAGCUCGUUGUCGGCGAUACAC